CAGAGAAGACUAUCUUUUUUUUUUUCCCAGUAGCAACCAUCUUUCCUGUGAAAAAUUCCCUCUCCUAGUACUUUAGUUCUGUGGAUCCAAAAAUUAUAGCAUUCUUUUACCACCAUGGGGCUCAUAACGACAUUAAUAGACACUUUUCAGAAAGGCAGGUUGUUCUUUGGGCCACAUCUAAGAAACCUUUGUCUAGCCAAAAGCCACAAAUAAUUUCUCGUUUUUGGCUUCUGGAAGAUGUACAGUUAAAUCUUAUAUUUAGAAUUGUUAUCUAAUUUGAUUAAAUUGCUCUCUAUGAUAUGAUAUUUGAAUUGAUGAAAAAUUAGUGAAUAUUAAUAUUUUUUAAAGUGGUCAAAUCUUGCAAUUUAUAUCUAAUAGAGAAGACUAGAAAAUCCCCCAUAUUUAUUUCCUCUUACUUCAUACUACUAAAAUUUGUAUUUAGGCAUUUGGUUUCUCAGAUAAACAUUACAUUCCCCAGUAUAUGGUUCUAUGUGGCUUUGUGACAACAUGAUGAACAUUAAGAUGUGAGUAGAAGUAAUACAUACACAUUAUUUUCAAUGUCUUUAAUUGAAUGGGAUAUUGGCCCAUUUUUUCUUCCAGUUUAUUACACUGAAUGUUGACAUGUUAUUUUUCAAUAUUGAGAUAACUAGACAAUGACAAGACUUUAAGAGUAACAAUGUAAAAAUUAUACAAGUUGUCAGGUUUAUCAACAAUCCACUGGAUUAGAGCCCCCUACCAGUCCUAGGCCAUCUAAUAUAUAGACAUUGUGUUCAGUAGAAAUAAAUAUAUAUUUUUUU